rnacentral:lncRNA from 1 species
AUCAUCCUGACACUCCCACUGCCGCUGCCUGCCUACUAGCUGAUCCAGAGCUAUCACGUGUUCACCUGGAACUUUACUCCAAGAUGAUUUGGUGGGAAUCAGCCCCCCCCCUUCUCUUCCAGGUUUCCAAGAUGCCUUUCCAGACUAGAACCCAGACGUGUGAACCGCUGGCCAGACACAACACUCUUCAAGUUAUGCAGGAGGCAGAGAGGAUUCAUCAGACUAAUUCUCCUGCUGCGACUGACAGAUCGGCCUGAGCUACAAUAGGGAGAAGAAUUAAAUGUAAAAACUCAAUAUUGUGGACCAGAGAUGGUGGUGAAUGCCUGCAAUCCUAGCACCUAGGAGACAGCCUUGCCUAGGGCCAUAGAUGCUAUUAGACGAGUGAAUCAGUCAAAGGUCAAAGUGUAAAAUGUUAUACUGUCUGCUUGAUGAGAGCCCAAGCUGGAAGCAUGUAUUAAAUCACACCCUGGACAAGGAUUCCGGAGGGAGUUGAAAGGGCAGAAGUUCCACUUAUCUCCAAGACCAUGACUGCCUCUGUUUUACAGAGUUCAGCAGCUUCUAUGACUGCAACCAGGGGAGCAGAAUUUUAUCAGUAAACUCUCUGGAAUGGAUAAAGGAGAUCUUCUGAGCAACCGUGGAAAUCCGACUGCUUUUAUGAUCUGUUGUUGAGUUGCUGUCAAUAAACUCAUAAAGGGCUUCUCCUAUGUGAUUAUAUCAAGAGCUAUAAAGGAGACAGUCAAUGUUAACACUGGAGUGAGGUAAAAAAUAUCUUCUAAAUUCAAUAUAAAGCUUCAAAGAGUCAGAUAUUUUGGAAAGUCUCAGAGUUUUAGUCUACGUAGCACCAUCUAGAGAAUUAAGUAGAACAUCUAGAGAACAAGAUCAGGAUCAGGUACGGAGACAGCUUUCUCUUGCUUAUGGAUUUGAGAGAUUUUAUGCAUCAUAGUAGAUGUGUGUUUGUGAAUGAAAAAUUGACUUGCUGAAUAAAUGAAGACAUUUAACCUCAGUACAAAAAUCCUCUCUGUAAUUUUAAUAAAGUCAAUGGCUAUAAGGUAGAGCGAACUCAUAUACUUAUUUUAAAGAUUAAUCACAGUUCAAAAUUGUUGCCCUCUGAAUUCAUUAGAAGUUCUUUCAUACAUUUGUGGUGGCUACAGAUUUUAAAGAAAAAAAUACAGUGUCAUCAUUUACUAUUUAGACUUGUAGAUUAAUAAUUUUAAAAUGUUAUUAUAUAUCAAUUUGAAAAUUUAAGUUUAUUAAUGUAUCUUCAAUAAUUUCUAAAUUAUUAUUAUAUACCAGUAUUUGUAGAAUUAAAUCUUUCAGGUACCCUCAGCAUAUAAAUUGUGUAUGGUGCUUGUUUGUAUCAUUAAACUUAAGUAAAUGUAAAUAUUAUAAGAGAAAACAUAAAUGAAAUAUCCAAUAUUGCAUGUCUUUGGAAUGAUUAUAGCUUUACACAGCUUUGAUCUGACAGAAAGAACUGAAUAAUAAAUAGCCCAUGUUUUGGAACCAAACAUCUGGUGUUGUAUUAUCUCUACCACUUAAUAACAUAGAACAAUAGGCAAGUUUUUCAACCUUUCCAUUUUCUUAAGUUUUCCUCACUGUAACAUUGAGUGAUUAGAGUCCCAACAUCAUCAUGUCAUAGUAAUGUUUACACAUAAUAGCAUUUGUUUAAUACUUGGAAACAUAUCUAGCAGAUAAAAGAUGUUCAAAUAAUAUGAACCCUUAUUAUUAAUUAUUUCUAUGUCUCUUAUAUAGCAUUAAACAUUGGGGAGGAGAAUGAACAUACAUUUAUGUCUUGUUUUAUUUUACCUUCAGUUAAGGAACUUUCAUAAUUGCAUUGUUUGCUCCUUUGGCUCCUUACCAUGUGCAACUUGGUCAUUAUUUCCUUUUCCUAAUAUAUUAGUGGAGGAAGCCAUGCACUAAUAAGAAAUCUCACAGCUCUGCCUUUUUAUUAAUACACUCCUUUCUUUGAUUUAUCCUUAUACAUACAAGUUUAUAUAUUUUCCCAUAUUUAACUACAUACAAAUUAUAUGAUGUAGUCUUCAAAGCAAUUUAAACAAUUAUAUAAAAUUUCCAUGUCACAACAUUUUUAAUGCAAGGUUAUAGCUUAAGAGUUAUGCAAGUCAGGAAAUCAGGUAGAUUCAAACUGACAGUUUUUUGCUUUAAAUGGAGUUAAUUGAAGUGAUUAAAUGGUACUAAGAUGGUGGAUGAGUAGGUCUGAAAAUGUACAAUUGUAUAUUUGUUUGCAGUUUUAAGAAGACUGGUGUCAGAUUAGGUUUUCUAGAGCACCCACAUGUUUCUCAGUAAAGAGUGUCUCAAUGGUGUUAGAUUUCUUACUUGGAGACUCAGAGGUCCCUGAAGAAUGGAAGAGAUCUAAAACUGUCAUUCUUUUAUGAAGUCAUGGGAAUACAUAUUAUUGUAUGAAUAUUUACAUUUACACAUACUUAUCUACCAUUCAUCUGUCUGUCUUUCUGUCAAUUUAUCUGUUACUUAUCUGUUCAUCUAUAGAUACAUGCCUAUGUACAUAUGCAAUGUAAAUAAAGUUAUGUCACCUAGAAUGACAAUGCCCCCGAUUUCUCACAAAGCUAUAAGUUAUCUAAAAAAAAUAUGCGAAAACAGUAAUAAGAAGCAGCCAUGGGUUUAAGAAGUAAUUGGAGGACAUGGAAUGAGUUGGGAGAGAAAAUGAAGCAAAUACAGUACUCGUCCAUGAAAUCUUCAAAAAUAUAUAAAAGGUAGGGCUCAGAAACUGGUGACAAAUUCAUUUCAGAGCUCACUCAAAUUCAUAAAUCUUUUAUCAAUAAAUUGAUAUGUAACCACAGUCCUACAAAACUGUUGACCUCCAGGCUCCGUAAUUCCUAUGAAAGUAUUUGUUAUACAAAUUGUAUCAAUGUAAUUACAAAUCAAUAAAGUUUACUUUAUUCCUU